rnacentral:rRNA from 1 species
CCCAGUUCAGAUCGCAGUCUGCAACUCGACUGCGUGAAGUCGGAAUCGCUAGUAAUCGCGGAUCAGCAUGCCGCGGUGAAUACGUUCCCGGGCCUUGUACACACCGCCCGUCACACCAUGAGAGUCGGGAACACCCGAAGUCCGUAGCCUAACCGCAAGGGAGGAGCUGCCUAAGGUGGAGCCAUUAACUGGGGUGAAGUCGUAACAAGGUAGC